UACAGAGGGUGGCGAGCGUUGUCCGGAAUCACUGGGCGUAAAGGGCGCGUAGGUGGGCGACCCAAGUCUGUGGUGAAAGCUACCGGACGCUCAACGUCGAGUUCGGCCAUAGAUACUGGGUUGCUUGAGCACUGUAGAGGCAGAUGGAAUUCCGGGUGUAGCGGUGGAAUGCGUAGAGAGUCCGGAAGAACACCGGUGGCGAAGGCGGUCUGCUGGGCAGUUGCUGACACUGAGGCGCGGACAGC
rnacentral:rRNA from 1 species